AUACAUAAAAAACUACUGUACACUCUUCAUUUCCAACCACCACCUCUUCCUAUCUUCUCCCGCCCCUCUCCUUCCACACAUCAACUACCAGCAACAAAAUUAACGAAUUCCCACUUCACAGGUUUGGAUUUGUAAACGUUGAGGGUUCCGAUUUGUAAACAUAGGCUUCUAUUGGAAACUAGGGUUCCGAUUUGAAAAGGAUUUUGCUAUCAGCAAGUAUCAACCGAUUCAUCCUUCACAUCUCCAUCCCUCUGGUAUAUAUUCUGUAAUGACAUUUUUGAAUUUCAAUUACUACAUUUUAAAUGUCACUAUGAAGGUGAUACUGAUAUGGGUGCGGCUACUGUUUGCAUGUGACCCAUGAACUGGCUUUUGAAUUGGUCAAUUGGUUUCUUUCGUUCUCGUUCAUCUCUCAAUCUUUUUUUGACGUUUUUCAUAGAAAAAAACCUGCGUUUUUUGCUGAAAAACUGCAGUUUUUUGGCCAAACCGGGGUGAAAAGCGCAGAGGCGGAGGUUAUAAACAACGAGGUUGCUGCCGAUGACGGGAGACCUUCAUCUCCGCCAGAUGGUGAGGAGGAGUUCAUUGAUGAUGAUGGGACUGUGUACAAGUGGGACAAGACGCUUAGAGCCUGGGUUCCUCAGCCAAGAUGACUGAUGGUCGAGCAGCGACCCCGGCGGGACUUAUUUCAGCAUCAAUAGCACAUGCUUUUGCACUAUUUGUUGCAGUUUCGGUUGGUGCUAACAUAUCAUGGGGUCAUGUGAACCCAACUCUGUUUCUGUUAUAUAAAUGAUAACCCUGAUUCUAAAAAAAUAGGAUACCCCUGACUUUUUGAGCUA